rnacentral:rRNA from 1 species
GCAGAGGAAAAGAAACCAACAGGGAUUGCCCCAGUAACGGCGAGUGAAGCGGCAACAGCUCAAAUUUGAAAUCUGGCUCCUUCGGGGUCCGAGUUGUAAUUUGCAGAGGGUGCUUUGGCGUCGGCCGUGGUCUAAGUUCCUUGGAACAGGACGUCACAGAGGGUGAGAAUCCCGUACGUGGCCGCCGGCCUUCGCACGUGUAAAGCCCCUUCGACGAGUCGAGUUGUUUGGGAAUGCAGCUCUAAAUGGGAGAUAAAUUUCUUCUAAAGCUAAAUAUUGGCCAGAGACCGAUAGCGCCACAAGUAGAGUGAUCGAAAGAUGAAAAGCACUUUGGAAAGAGAGUCAAAAAGCACGUGAAAUUGUUGAAAGGGAAGCGCUUGCAGCCAGACGUGCCCGCAGUUGCUCACCCGGGCUCUCGCCCGGGGCAUUCUUCUGCGGGCAGGCCAGCAUCAGUUCGGGCGGUUGGAUAAAGGCCUCUGUCACGUACCGCCCUCUCGGGGGCGGCCUUAUAGGGGAGGCGCAACACGACCAGCCCGAACUGAGGACCGCGCAUUAUGCUAGGGAUACUGCCAUAAUGGCUGUAAGCGGCCCCUCUUGAAACACGGACCAAGGAGUCUAACAUCUAUGCGAGUGUUUGGGUGUCAAGCCCGGGCGCGCAAUGAAAGUGAACGGAGGUGGGAACCCCUUGGGGUGCCCCAUCGACCGAUCCUGAAGUUUUCGGAUGGAUUUGAGUAAGAGCAUAGCUGUUGGGACCCGAAAGAUGGUGAACUAUGCCUGAAUAGGGUGAAGCCAGGGGAAACCCUGGUGGAGGCUCGCAGCGGUUCUGACGUGCAAAUCGAUCGUCAAAUUUGGGCAUAGGGGCGAAAGACUACUCGA